AAUGAGUUAACUUAUGAGAAUACAUAGUUAGUGCAACCCAAGUGCCCUAGAAAGAUGACAGAAAGCUAUGGCUGCUAUGGCAUGUAUUAUUUCAAUGGCUGUCCUGCAAUUAGUGAACUUUGUUUCUGUCUGGUUUACAGAACUUACAAGCAGAACUAAACUCAUGAAGGAGAAAGAGAAGAUAAGGUUUUAUACAUAGAAUGAUCCCUUCUAUCUUCCUAUAGGUUUUUUUCCCUAUGUUUGUUUUGUUUUAAAUUCUUAUACGAUGUCAAUCAUAUGUACAUCAAUAGAGCUUUUUAGCUUUUUUACCAGCUCAGGAUUUGCCUAGAUAUACAGUGAUUAUUAUUCACACAGCCACAUUUCAGACUGCUCCUGAAGUCCAAAGAAAUGAACUUGGGUCGAGGUCACAUAUGUGGUUUGGCAGAGAGGGGCUUAGCAUAGAUCAGGACUAGACCGUAGUAAGGGCAUACUUUUUGCCCCAGAAGUGUCAUCUAAGGAAUCCAAGUCAUUCGUUAAUAUGUAGGACUCAAACAUUUUUCCUCAAAACAGGAAAUCCCUUUCUGCCUCUGAAUGGAGCUACUGAAGAGCAGAGUGCUGCUACACCCGGGGCCCUGCAGCACGCGCUUGGCAGAGGUGGUGUUCGGUGUGUGAGGGGACGUGGGGAAGGAUUUCCCUGCUAAUCCUCUUCAGCAAAGAACAGCGAUCAGCAGCACACCUAUUCUACUGUCUCACAAGAAAUCCAGGCUUGCAAAGGAGUAAGGAAACUGUUUUCAUCAACUGUGCUUUCAUCAGAGAUGCUGCCAAACCCUCAAUAAUGCUGUUUCCUGAAGAACAACUGGUAUCUGUGUUGGUACCUUUUGAAAUAGCCUGGGCUGCUUAUGCUUCACUACUACUUUUCUUGAGCAUUUCUGCAGUGCCAGGUACAGAUUGCUGCAGAGCGCACAACUUGUUCCGAAGGAUUUGUCUGCAGAUAUCUGGUCUCUGAAAACAAAACAUAAGUUUAAAAGCCAG
rnacentral:lncRNA from 1 species